AUGUGGUGCGUGUGCGUGUGUGUGUCUGUGUGUGUGUGUGUGUGUGUGUGUGAGAGAGAGAGAGAGAGAGAGAGAGAGAGAGAGAAAGAGAGAGAGACAACCCUGGUAGGCAGGCGAAAGCACCCCUCACCUCCCCCAGCCCCGAAGCCUUUCUCGAUCUCCCGGCGAAAGGCUGUGGCGGACGGGGUGGGGCGGGGGAGGCGGGGACGGGGGAGGGAAAGAGGGAGGACGGGGCAGGCGGCGCGGGCAGCAUCUCCUGCCUUCUCUGCAGCUCAGAGGCCAGGGGUGGAAGGAAGCCGCAGCCGCAGCCCCAAGUCAACCCCUGCUGCCCCGUCCCACCAUCUCAUCUCUCCCCCCUCGAGUCUUGCUCUGUUACCCAGAUUGGAGUGCAGUGGCACUGUCUCGGCUCACUGCAAUUUUCGCCUUCCAGAUUCAAGCAAUUCUUGUGCCUCAGCCUCCUGAGUAGUUGGGAUUACAGGUAUGUGCCACCAUGCCUGGCUAACUUUUGUAUGGGAUUUUGUCAUGCUGCCCAGGCUAGUCUUGAACUGGCCUCAAGUGCUCCGCCCACCUUAGCCUCCCAAAGUCCUGGGAUUACAGGUGUGAGCCACUACACCUGGUCCUUCCAGACUCUUUAAAAAAAAUACUUCAGCCAUCCACAGCAAAGAUGUUUGUGCUUCCCAUUCAUUCAUACUUUACUUCAAUAGCAGGCAAGCUUUCACACUGGUCACAUAAAACACCUAUAAUGGUUGCCAUUCCUGAAAGGUGAGAGUUUGCAGGUGGCAGUUCAGUGUUGUGCUCCCUACCAACUUUAUUCUUAUGAAGCAGGUGGAUACAUUCUUACUCAGCCAUGAAAGAGUGUCUGACCCAUAGCCCUCAGGAACAUUUUUCUUUCUGACUGGUCAAUUAUUUAUUUCACAGACACAGAAAGUACUUCCUAUGUGCCAGGUACUGUUCUAAAUAGUUCACGAAUACUAAUUUAUUUAAUCUUCAUGACAACCCCAGCAGAUAAUUACUGAUAUUAACUUCAUUAUACAGGCAAGAAAUGUAGGUCACAGAAUUACUAAAUAACUUGCCUGAGGUCACAAUGCUAAUAAGCAGUGGGACAGAAAUCGAAACCCAGGCAGUUUGAUACCAGAGCUUGCCUGCUUGACUACUACAUUUAUCUGCCUUCUGACUUUCUUCUGCCUUCCACACUCCAACCUACCUCUUUUUCAAGACGAGACCUUAUUCUCUCCUAAGCUCUUGUCUUUCCAGUUGUUUUCUCUGGCAUAUUACUUGCGUACAUAGUGCAAGAUUUGGAGAGGAGGGUGGCUGUGUGAAAUGGCCCUGCCUAAAUGAUAAGCUCUCUUUUACUUAGUGCAUUUUGUUUUUGUGCUUUUUGUUGCCAACUUUUUUUUAUGAUAAAAGUUUUCUCUCCAGCUGCUUAGUCAAUUGAUUCUCUGAUGGUUAAAAACAGAAAACCUUGAGAGAAAUUUGGGCAAUUUUGUUAAUUUCUCAGAUGUCUGAGAUUGGCAUAGGCUGUGAUGGCUGCACUUCGCUCUGCCUCUAUUCUUUCCAGUGCCUGUAUACUUGAGAUGAGACCAAAUGAGCCCUAGAUCACUUCCAACAGCAUGAUGAGUGGAGGGAGGCUCUUGUUAAAAUACAGAUUCUGAUGUAUACCUAAGUUUUUUAAGGUCCACUGCCCCAGAAAGCUUUGUGAAAGGCCAGGCUAUAGAAUUAAUAUGGUGUUUUUGAAAAAAUGCAGAUUCCCUGGCCCAAACCCUGGAGUGUUUGUGUAAUGGUGUACUGGUUGUCAAACCAUCACUCUUAAACAAACAAAAAUCUUAUUUGUAGCAGUUGCCUAUUUCCAUGGUGUAAAUAAUUCCACCGUAGCUUAUUUCAAGCCACAUAUGUGAAGUCACUGAACUCAGAGUUGGGAAGGCAAGUGUACAAUUAGUUCUUGCAAGCCAGUGCAAGCUGUCACCACCACCCUGGAUGGGCGGAUGUGAGAGGGUGUGAGUAGGAAGUUGGCAGUAACCUAAGAAGGGGCAGAGCAUUGAAUGCAAAUGUAAGUGGCAGGGCUGGAAUUUAAACCCAGCUUUUUUUAAACCCAACUCUUUCUUACUCUAAAGCUGCCUUUCCCUCCAGCUCUGUCUGUGAAAGUUCUGUUCAUACUUCAAGGCCUAGCUCAGCUACAACCUGCUUUAUGAAGCCUUCUCUGUAUCGUCUUCCCACUUCCAGCAGAUGCGUCUUUUCCCGUCACUAUGGGAUGGGUUAUGGGAGAGAUAUCAUUAUUUCAGGCAUGAUCCUUAGGCAGAUUUAGUCUUUUUAAAACAAGUAGCUUGGUGAAGAAAAGCAUUGGGACAUAAUGACAAGAACAUAGAUUUUAGAGUCAUAUAUGAAUUCAAAUUCCAGCUCCAAUAUUGAUCAACUAUGUAGAGAAAUAAUCACCACUCUAAGCUACAGUUUUUAUAGAUAUAAAAUCGGAUAAGAGCAAUGCUGCAGGAUCAUUGUAAAGAUUAGUAAAAUAUAUGGGAAGUGCCAGGCAUUCAUUAAAUGCCCAAUAAAUGGUGGAUAUAAUUAUUCAUGUAUUUGCCCUAAAAGACAAAUGUCAUUCAUACUUUCUUCCUCAAUUGUUUGAUAUCAAAAGUACAGCCUAUAGUGUAGCUUUCCACUUGUCCACCAUAAAUACCAUUCCCCCUCCAUCCAACCAAAAAGUCAGCAUUUGAGCUUGUCUUUGGUGAUUCAGCCUCACCCCAAGCUUUGGUCAGGGCUGCCAACACAUGCAGAAGCUAAGUCUUUGGUUGCCCUAUAUCUCACCAAGCGGCAAAUGUCUGUCUUGCCUGACAUUCACUUGCACCUCUUACCUCACCUUCUUUUUGCUGUCAGGGCUAUGAGUAAAUAGGAAGGGAUGAGGU
rnacentral:lncRNA from 1 species